UACAGAGGGGGCAAGCGUUAUUCGGAAUUAUUGGGCGUAAAGGGCGCGUAGGCGGCCUGGCAAGUGGAAGGUGAAAUCCCUCGGCUUAACCGAGGAACUGCCCUCGAAACUGCUUGGCUUGAGUCCGGGAGAGGUGAGUGGAAUUCCCAGUGUAGCGGUGAAAUGCGUAGAUAUUGGGAGGAACACCAGUGGCGAAGGCGGCUCACUGGACCGGAACUGACGCUGAGGCGCGAAAGCGUGGGGAGCAAACAGG
rnacentral:rRNA from 1 species